rnacentral:rRNA from 1 species
GAACUGUGCAAACGUUAUUCGGAAUCACUGGGCUUAAAGGGUGCGUAGGCGGGUUAGUAGGGUCAGAUGUGAAAUCCCACGGGCUCAACCGUGGAACUGCGUUUGAAACCACUAGUCUUGAGGGGAUCAGAGGAGAGCGGAACUGAUGGUGGAGCGGUGAAAUGCGUUGAUAUUAUCAGGAACACCGGUGGCGAAGGCGGCUCUCUGGGAUCUUUCUGACGCUGAGGCACGAAAGCUAGGGGAGCGAACGGGAUUAGAUACCCCGGUAGUCCUAGCUGUAAACGAUCUGUACUAGUCCGUGGGGACCCCCACAUCUUCUCGGACGUAGCGAAAGUGUUAAGUACAGCGCCUGGGGAGUAUGGUCGCAAAGGCUG